CCUACGGGAGGCAGCAGUGAGGAAUAUUGGUCAAUGGCCGGAAGGCUGAACCAGCCAUGCCGCGUGAAGGUCAGUGCCCUAUGGGCGUUAAACUUCUUUUGUGCGGGAGCAAUAAUGGUCACGUGUGGCCAGACGAGAGUACCGUACGAAUAAGCAUCGGCUAACUCCGUGCCAGCAGCCGCGGUAAUACGGGGGAUGCAAGCGUUAUCCGGAUUUAUUGGGUUUAAAGGGUGCGUAGGCUGGGAGGUAAGUCAGCGGUGAAAUGCCCCCGCUCACCGGGGUGAAGUGCCAUUGAUACUGCCUGGCUGGAAUGCGGAUGCCGUGGGAGGAAUGUGUGGUGUAGCGGUGAAAUGCAUAGAUAUCACACAGAACACCGAUUGCGAAGGCAUCUCACGAAUCCGCGAUUGACGCUGAUGCACGAAAGCGUGGGUAUCAAACAGGAUUAGAUACCCUAGUAGUC
rnacentral:rRNA from 1 species